GGUUAAGCGACUAAGCGUACACGGUGGAUGCCCUGGCAGUCAGAGGCGAUGAAGGACGUGCUAAUCUGCGAAAAGCGCCGGCGAGGUGAUAUGAACCCUUGACCCGGCGAUGUCCGAAUGGGGAAACCCAGUGCAAUCCGUUGCACUAUCGUUAACUGAAUACAUAGGUUAACGAGGCGAACCGGGGGAACUGAAACAUCUAAGUACCCCGAGGAAAAGAAAUCAACCGAGAUUCCCCCAGUAGCGGCGAGCGAACGGGGAGCAGCCCGGAGUCUGAAUCAGCUUGUGUGUUAGUGGAACGGUCUGGAAAGUCCGACGGUACAGGGUGAUAGUCCCGUACACGAAAGCACACAUGCUGUGAACUCGAAGAGUAGGGCGGGACACGUGGUAUCCUGUCUGAAUAUGGGGGGACCAUCCUCCAAGGCUAAAUACUCCUGACUGACCGAUAGUGAACCAGUACCGUGAGGGAAAGGCGAAAAGAACCCCGGCGAGGGGAGUGAAAAAGAACCUGAAACCGUGUACGUACAAGCAGUGGGAGCCUCUUUAUGGGGUGACUGCGUACCUUUUGUAUAAUGGGUCAGCGACUUAUAUUCUGUAGCAAGGUUAACCGUAUAGGGGAGCCGAAGGGAAACCGAGUCUUAACUGGGCGUUAAGUUGCAGGGUAUAGACCCGAAACCCGGUGAUCUAGCCAUGGGCAGGUUGAAGGUUGGGUAACACUAACUGGAGGACCGAACCGACUAAUGUUGAAAAAUUAGCGGAUGACCUGUGGCUGGGGGUGAAAGGCCAAUCAAACCGGGAGAUAGCUGGUUCUCCCCGAAAGCUAUUUAGGUAGCGCCUCGUGAACUCAUCUUCGGGGGUAGAGCACUGUUUCGGCUAGGGGGCCAUCCCGGCUUACCAACCCGAUGCAAACUACGAAUACCGAAGAAUGUUAUCACGGGAGACACACGGCGGGUGCUAACGUCCGUCGUGAAGAGGGAAACAACCCAGACCGCCAGCUAAGGUCCCAAAGUCAUGGUUAAGUGGGAAACGAUGUGGGAAGGCACAGACAGCCAGGAUGUUGGCUUAGAAGCAGCCAUCAUUUAAAGAAAGCGUAAUAGCUCACUGGUCGAGUCGGCCUGCGCGGAAGAUGUAACGGGGCUAAACCAUGCACCGAAGCUGCGGCAGCGACACUUAUGUGUUGUUGGGUAGGGGAGCGUUCUGUAAGCCGUUGAAGGUGUGCUGUGAGGCAUGCUGGAGGUAUCAGAAGUGCGAAUGCUGACAUAAGUAACGAUAAAGCGGGUGAAAAGCCCGCUCGCCGGAAGACCAAGGGUUCCUGUCCAACGUUAAUCGGGGCAGGGUGAGUCGACCCCUAAGGCGAGGCCGAAAGGCGUAGUCGAUGGGAAACAGGUUAAUAUUCCUGUACUUGGUGUUACUGCGAAGGGGGGACGGAGAAGGCUAUGUCAGCCGGGCGACGGUUGUCCCGGUUUAAGCAUGUAGGCGGAGGUUCCAGGUAAAUCCGGUACCUUUUAACGCUGAGGUGUGAUGACGAGGCACUACGGUGCUGAAGUGAUAAAUGCCCUGCUUCCAGGAAAAGCCUCUAAGCAUCAGGUAACACGAAAUCGUACCCCAAACCGACACAGGUGGUCAGGUAGAGAAUACCAAGGCGCUUGAGAGAACUCGGGUGAAGGAACUAGGCAAAAUGGUGCCGUAACUUCGGGAGAAGGCACGCUGAUGUGUAGGUGAAGCCCCUGCGGGCGGAGCUGAAAUCAGUCGAAGAUACCAGCUGGCUGCAACUGUUUAUUAAAAACACAGCACUGUGCAAACACGAAAGUGGACGUAUACGGUGUGACGCCUGCCCGGUGCCGGAAGGUUAAUUGAUGGGGUUAGCGGCAACGCGAAGCUCUUGAUCGAAGCCCCGGUAAACGGCGGCCGUAACUAUAACGGUCCUAAGGUAGCGAAAUUCCUUGUCGGGUAAGUUCCGACCUGCACGAAUGGCGUAAUGAUGGCCAGGCUGUCUCCACCCGAGACUCAGUGAAAUUGAACUCGCUGUGAAGAUGCAGUGUACCCGCGGCAAGACGGAAAGACCCCGUGAACCUUUACUAUAGCUUGACACUGAACACUGGUCCUUGAUGUGUAGGAUAGGUGGGAGGCUUUGAAGCGUGGACGCCAGUCUGCGUGGAGCCGACCUUGAAAUACCACCCUUUAAUGGCUGGUGUUCUAACGUGGACCCGUAAUCCGGGUUGCGGACAGUGUCUGGUGGGUAGUUUGACUGGGGCGGUCUCCUCCCAAAGAGUAACGGAGGAGCACGAAGGUUGGCUAAUCCUGGUCGGACAUCAGGAGGUUAGUGCAAUGGCAUAAGCCAGCUUGACUGCGAGCGUGACGGCGCGAGCAGGUGCGAAAGCAGGUCAUAGUGAUCCGGUGGUUCUGAAUGGAAGGGCCAUCGCUCAACGGAUAAAAGGUACUCCGGGGAUAACAGGCUGAUACCGCCCAAGAGUUCAUAUCGACGGCGGUGUUUGGCACCUCGAUGUCGGCUCAUCACAUCCUGGGGCUGAAGUAGGUCCCAAGGGUAUGGCUGUUCGCCAUUUAAAGUGGUACGCGAGCUGGGUUUAGAACGUCGUGAGACAGUUCGGUCCCUAUCUGCCGUGGGCGCUGGAGAAUUGAGGGGGGCUGCUCCUAGUACGAGAGGACCGGAGUGGACGCAUCACUGGUGUUCGGGUUGUCAUGCCAAUGGCACUGCCCGGUAGCUAAAUGCGGAAGAGAUAAGUGCUGAAAGCAUCUAAGCACGAAACUUGCCCCGAGAUGAGUUCUCCCUGAGACUUUAAGUCUCCUGAAGGAACGUUAAAGACGAUGACGUUGAUAGGUCGGGUGUGUAAGCGCAGCGAUGCGUUGAGCUAACCGAUACUAAUGAACCGUGAGGCUUAACCUU
rnacentral:rRNA from 1 species